AUGGAUUUUUAACCACUGGACCACCAGGCAAAUCCAGUAAUUUAUUUUUUUUCCUAUGUCCCGUGGGAGAGAGAUCUCAAAGAGUUUCAGGUUUAUUGUUCUGCUGAGCUUUGCAUGGGCCAACGUGUUUUCUCCUGCCCCUCCCAUUCUAGGGGACAGACUCAAGCAUAGAGUUUCCACCAAAGCAGCACCGCGGAGACCCCGCCCUUCCCCCAAAUGCAAUCCAGAAAAUUCUCCUCCACCAAAUAAUAAUUGUCGCAUCCUCAAGGUCCUGGUCACAUGUGUUUGAACACUUCUGACAAGCCAGGUGUGAGAUCUGGUCAUAAAGGAUGUGGGAGGAGGCCAACUUGGAAUUGAUUUCAGGAGGAGGAGGAGGUCUGAUGUCUCGAAGCUCAAGGUUCCAGUCACUGGAGUAUUCCAGGGAAUAAUGGAAACCAUGGUCACGGUGAUGGUCUGAGAACAUUUGCAUGCUUGAUUCACCAGAGAAUCUUAGAAACUUAUGACUUUGUUCUUGGGAUGCUGCCAGUCUUUCUGGAAGUGGCUGUACUUUGGGAUGAAAGCAGCUGAGGAAAUAAAAAAGUGUUAGGUCAGGACCAACAGCCUGACGUAAAAUCCCCAGGCCAGCGUUGCAAAUGAGAGGUCGGCCAACCCCCAGGCCAAGUGUACUCUUGAUGGAAAACUAAUUAAUUCUCAAGAAGGAAGUAUGUCAUUGGAUAGAGUUCC